UCCAGACUCCUACGGGAGGCAGCAGUGGGGAAUAUUGCACAAUGGGGGAAACCCUGAUGCAGCGACGCCGCGUGAGUGAAGAAGUAUUUCGGUAUGUAAAGCUCUAUCAGCAGGGAAGAAGUUGACGGUACCUGACUAAGAAGCCCCGGCUAACUACGUGCCAGCAGCCGCGGUAAUACGUAGGGGGCAAGCGUUAUCCGGAUUUACUGGGUGUAAAGGGUGCGCAGGUGGCAGGGCAAGUCAGAUGUGAAAGCCCGGGGCUCAACCCCGGUAUUGCAUUUGAAACUGUCCGGCUAGAGUGCAGGAGAGGUAAGCGGAAUUCCUAGUGUAGCGGUGAAAUGCGUAGAUAUUAGGAGGAACACCAGUGGCGAAGGCGGCUUACUGGACUGUAACUGACACUGAGGCACGAAAGCGUGGGGAGCAAACAGGAUUAGAUACCCUUGUAG
rnacentral:rRNA from 1 species